CAUCGAGCUGCACAUACUCCGGCCACUCAGACUGGUGGAGUUCCUGUAGUCACCCUGACGACCAGUCUUCUGGAUUAAACCUGUCAUGAACGACGAUGCUGCUCCUGCUCAAGACUCCAACGGGGACGUGGCUGACAUGAAGAUUUUGGUUUCUUCACCGUCGCCUAGAGACUCUCUCUCUGGCUGUGCUGCUGGGCCUUCUCACAAAUCACCCUGCAAGAGCCGCAGCAUCGGCAGCAAGAAGGUGAACGCCCUGAGAGCCAAGGUGCGACAGCUUCAAGAGCGUCAUAAGAGGCUGUAAAGAAGGCUGCAACGACAACGCCGGAU